rnacentral:tRNA from 1 species
GCCGAGGUGGCGGAACUGGCAGACGCGCGCGACUCAAACUCGCGUGGGGUAACACCCGUGUGGGUUCAAAUCCCACCCUCGGUA